rnacentral:rRNA from 1 species
GGGCCCGCACAAGCGGUGGAGCAUGUGGUUUAAUUCGAUGAUACGCGAGGAACCUUACCAGGGCUUAAAUGUAAGUUGCAUUAGUUAGAGAUAGCUAUUUCUUCGGACUACUUACAAGGUGCUGCAUGGUUGUCGUCAGCUCGUGCCGUGAGGUGUCAGGUUAAGUCCUAUAACGAGCGCAACCCCUGUUGUUAGUUGCCAUCGAGUCAUGUCGGGAACUCUAACAAGACUGCCGGUGCAAACCGUGAGGAAGGUGGGGAUGACGUCAAAUCAUCACGGCCCUUACGUCCUGGGCUACACACGUGCUACAAUGGCCGGUACAGAGAGCAGCCACUACGCGAGUAGGCGCGAAUCUUCAAAGCCGGUCUCAGUUCGGAUUGGAGUCUGCAACUCGACUCCAUGAAGCUGGAGUUGCUAG